rnacentral:rRNA from 1 species
GACGAACGCUGGCGGCGUGCUUAACACAUGCAAGUCGAACGGAAAGGCCCUGCUUUUGUGGGGUGCUCGAGUGGCGAACGGGUGAGUAACACGUGAGUAACCUGCCCUUGACUUUGGGAUAACUUCAGGAAACUGGGGCUAAUACCGGAUAGGAGCUCCUGCUGCAUGGUGGGGGUUGGAAAGUUUCGGCGGUUGGGGAUGGACUCGCGGCUUAUCAGCUUGUUGGUGGGGUAGUGGCUUACCAAGGCUUUGACGGGUAGCCGGCCUGAGAGGGUGACCGGCCACAUUGGGACUGAGAUACGGCCCAGACUCCUACGGGAGGCAGCAGUGGGGAAUAUUGCACAAGGGGCGGAAGCAUGAUGCAGCAACGCCGCGUGCGGGAUGACGGCCUUCGGGUUGUAAACCGCUUUCGCCUGUGACGAAGCGUGAGUGACGGUAAUGGGUAAAGAAACACCGGCUAACUACGU